rnacentral:rRNA from 1 species
GACGAACCGUGCGAACGUUGUUCGGAAUCACUGGGCUUAAAGGGCGCGUAGGCGGGCCAUCAAGUCCGGGGUGAAAUCUUUCGGCUUAACCGGAAAAUUGCCUUGGAUACUGGUGGUCUUGAGGGAAGUAGGGGUCUGCGGAACUUCCGGUGGAGCGGUGAAAUGUGUUGAUAUUGGAAGGAACGCCGGUGGCGAAAGCGGCGGACUGGGCUUCUUCUGACGCUGAGGCGCGAAGGCGUGGGGAGCGAACGGG